AGUGCGGCCUGCCAAGGCGCGAUCUUAGGCCACUGGACAACCUUAUCCUCUACCCAAGGGUAGGACUCAUUCACCAGGUCUUCUUCCCAGCCAACAUCCUGCACGAAGCUGUUGUUCCAAUAAACACAAGAGAGAAGAAUGAUGAUGCACAACCAUAACAAUGCAUUGGCACCUUGAGCUGGCCCGGCUGUAGAAGCCAGCAUUGAUGCAGGUACCACCGCCCAGCACCCUUGCCCGGGCGUUGAUGACGCCGUCAGUGGAGACGAAGGCCUGCGACGAAGAGUCCGGCGCCGUGUUGCUCAGGCCAAUGUGGAAGUUCUCCAUGUAGGAGAUGUUGCGGUUGCCGUAAGGGGAUCCACCCCUCUCCAGCACGAGCACCUUGUACUUGAGCGACAAUGUUGCCGCCAGGGGGCAGCCGGCGGUGCCCCCGCCGACGAUAAUGUAGUCGUACCUGUCGUGGCGCAUCGCGGGGAAGCUGCUCGCCUUCUCGAGGGGAGGGAGAUUCCUCAGCGUGAAUGGCGGCUUGGCCGUGCCCCUACCUGCAGGGCCUGGUCUCCUGGUAUUAUGCUACUCCAGAUAAACAGGUACGCCUUUUUAUAGCAUAUAAUAUACUCUGUCCCUUUCUUCGUGUACUCUAUUUUUUUUCUAGCAAAAUAUAUAAAGAUGUGAAUAGUGCAUGGUCCUCUAUCUAUUACAAAAAGGAAAAAACACAAUCCGAUGAGACAAUGACCGGAACCAAAGUGUCCUAGGAGAGAAGUCCAUCUACUGAAUCUGAAUGAGCAAGCGACUAGUAAGAAGGCAAACCCAAGCUGAGAAACGCAGGUGCAGCAUUGCUUGCUAAGCGAGCAAUCAAUCUCCCAGGGAGCAUUGCAAGUUCUUCACCGGGAAGAGUGGAGCAGGGGUGUUUGGACGGAAGCAGAAAUGCUCAAGAAACACGGACAGCAUGGAAGCAGAGGUGAGGCCCGCACCUUGGGAUGAUCCGAGGAAGCAGAGGCAGACCACGAGCUUGAUGCAGAGCAAGGAUGCCGCCGCUCCCUUGCUGCUGGAAGCCAUGGAACCUGAGAAGCACCUGCCAGGCUAAACCGUGGAUUGGUGCCGGUCGACGGUGGCUCUAGCUUUCCGCUUCCUUCCAGCUCGCUCUGGAGCUCGAGGUCGCCCACCGGACUUGACCCGUUUAUGUAGGCGGCGCCGGAGGGGAGGACCGGAGGCCAAUAGAGUAUCGUGUGCGCAUUGAAGAGAGCUCACCAGCCGCAGUAAGUGCCAUUGAAUGCAGAGGGAGCACUGCCCCGGUACAACUGUGAUUUAUGGGCUUCAUCAACCAACCAACCAAUGCAGGGCUGCGCCGGAGGUACCCACACCCACACCACCACCCCUUCAUUUACAAGAAUGACUGUCGUCUCCAUCUUUCCAGUUUUCUUAUGUUUCUCUGUACAUGGCACCCGCCCAAUUGGUUGCGCCAGCGCAGCAUUUUCUUUCUUUUUGGCAAACUAAGGUUAGGAGUAUGGAUGAUGCCUUUUUAAAAAAAAUGGAAACAGUCCUGUUCUGUAGCAGAUGAUGGCGUGCAUGAAUGCCAGUUAUUCCAUAGAAAAAGGCCAGCUGUAGAAAAUGCACUGUGCUGUUUUUUAUACCGGCUGCAGAAAGGGCGUGCUGCUUGCUAUCUUCUUCUUUUUUAGCGGGGAAGUGUCUGCUGCCAUGUCGACGUACCAUGCUGAUGUAUCUCCCUCCUGGUGGCUUCAACUCCGAGACCAUGGUUCCGAUGAAGAUUAUUCAUGGUGAUAAGAUUUGAAGAAAGAGACAUGCAUCCUACUCUCCUCCCUGCUCUUUAAAGCUCCCCGGAGCCGGAGGACACGGAAGGUUUGGAAUGGUCACGUCUUGUCCAUCAUCAUCACAUGACACCUACCAACCUGAUCAAGGCACUCUUUGUCAUGUGGUACGUACGAAUUUACAGGUAAAUAGGUACGCCGCGUCAGUGUCGGUUCACAGUAGUUUUCUACAGACCUUUUCACCUGCACACACACACACACAAAGUGGAUGUAGAAGUAGAAGUAGCAACAGAUCAACCGCAAUGGCUUCCGAGUUCUUGCUAGCCAUGCAGUUCACUCAUGGUCCUAAUGAAAUGAUGCAGUCAAACCAGGAUGCUCGAGGUCAAGGCCCUGCCCCUGGCUUACUGUACCGUAAUGAUGCAGGAGGACGCCCCCUCUCCCUGAUAAGAGAAUGAAAUCCCAAAUUCUCGAAUAAUAUCGAUCAAUCAUGAAGAAGAUGGGGGCGACAAAACAUGGGUAUAUAUAGUGCAUCAUCUCCCCUUCUUUGAAGACGCUGACCGUCUUGUUUUCGUGUCAACAGUGCUUAAACAGGAUCCUAAGAUAAGAGUGGCAUGGGCAAGGAUGAUGGAUCUCGCCCCUUAUUAAGUCGUGUGGGGUAAUUCGCAACCUCCUCCCUGCCGUGGACUUAAUGGGGAUCAUGAGAUGCAUAUGGACGGCCAGCCAUCGCCUUGGCCAUGGCAUGGGGACCCCGGCGAGCUGCGCUCCAGUGCCUGUGGCGAGCUCUGCGCCCGGGCGCGCGCGCACCUACCAGUCAGAGCCAGUCCACCACCGCGGCACCAACCUACGCCUGGUCGCGCGCCCACGGAGUUGACUGAGCUGCUGCUCGUACGAACCGGUCCAUCCAUCGUGGGCGUGAUCACCGCGAACAGUGGUUGCCGCUGCCGCGCCCGGCGCCCCCUUGGGCGGGCCAUGGGGAAAAAGUUCAUUUUAAACCUUGAACUUGUAGAGGUCCGGCGAAAUGAACCCUCAAGUCAAAAUCCCGGUCGAUUGCACCCUGAACUCUGCAAUCCCGGUCUAAAUCGAACCUUCGGAUAAUUUUUCAAACGGCGAUUGCUGACGUGGACCGGGAUUGGGGAGGAAACGCUCGCAGCGCCCGUGGAUGGGCCGGCCUAGUUCACGGCAGCGCGUGCUGCGCCUUGUUGCUUCCAUUUUUCGUUCGUUAUUUGUUAUUUGUUUUUCUUUACUGGUUCUGCUUUCUUUUCGUUUUUCUUUUUUUAUUUAUAUUUAUAUUAUUUUCUUUUUUCCUUUUUUAUGUUUUCUUUUUUCUAUUUCCUUCAUAUCACUUUCCUAUUUAUAUUAAAAAAGUUCAUCAUGCAUUAUAAAAUGUUCAUUGUGUAUAAUUUAAAAUGUUCAUUGUAUAUUAUUCAAUGGAUAUUACAAAAUCUUC